CAGGAAAAUGCAUCAGCUUCGCUGGACCCUUCCCUGGUGGAGACAGUGGAGCCUGGGUCACCCCUCCCUCCCGGCGGAGGGAGACACAGAGAAGAUGAUAGGCCUGAUAGGUCUGUCCCUGUUCAGGUGGAGGCUCCCAGGAAAAGGCCCCAGAUACAGAAGGGCGAAGGUCUGGCGCAUCCUUCUGACCCUGCCAAGAAGACGAGGUAGAUGAGCAGCCAUGGAGGACAUGCCGGGAAGCAGUGAGACUCAAAAACUACGGCAGUCUGAUUGCAGGUGGGAGACCUGGUUGGAGACGGGGAAGAGGCCUGAGAGGCUGAACCCGAAGGACCAGGAUGAGAACCCAGACCAGCCCUCCUUUACCUGCGCCCCCUUCCCCCUACCAAGAUGUAACAUACCCAUUUCACAGAGGAAGACACUGAGACAGUCCCUUGUCUGUAUUGAGCUGGGAAGUGGUGCUGAUGGAAAAGUGAU